AAGGUGGACGAGGAAGAUGUCGUCUCCCACAUCCUCGCUGGGCUCGACGAGGAAUUUGACCCCGUGGUUUCUGCCAUGUGCUCACGGGUCGAACCUGUUGGGGUGCCGGAGCUGUACUCGCAGCUCCUGAGCUUCGGGG
rnacentral:snoRNA from 1 species